UAAACUUCAUGUCUCAAUCCCAAUGUCAACUAAUGUAAAAAAUUACCAUUAAUUACUUUUUUUGCCUGUUUCUAUAGAUUGUCUGGCAAAAAAAUGAGAAGGAAAAUUGCAGUUAAUUUUGAUGCUACUGAAACAAUCGAUGCUUUGACAUUUUCACCUUGCAACAUUAUGCAGUUAAUUUUGGUUCUGAGUAUUGGAGGUCAUCGGAAAUUAAUUUGGUUUGCUCAACAUACUGAUGAACUUUAGAAUGCUACUUUUUAAGGUUAACUGAGGUGAAAGUACAUAAGAUUAUCAAUAUUAAUCGCUCUUUAUUACACUGUUAUGGCAUUUCUUUUAACAAUUAUAUAUUCUCCACAGUAUAAAUUGACACACUUCUAUGUUAUUUACAUUAGUUUAACCAAGUAUUACGCACAUUAUUUACUAAGGAUGCUAAAAUACUGUAUCAUUUUACAGGAACAUUGGAAGAACUCCAGAUUCUGUUAAAUUAUGGGGAAUUGGUUGUCUCAGUCGUCAAUUGCUUUAGAAAGUAGCUGUAUCUAUGGUCUUAAAAAAAAGCAUGAAAACGUGUGUUCAGUGUGCUGUUGCUAAAGAAAGGAUUUAUGACAUUGAACUGAUUGUCGUAACAAAUUAGAAGAUAUUGAUGCUACUGAAACAACCGAUGCUUUUGAUGUUUUCAUCUUCCAACAUUAUGCAGUUAGUUUUGGGCCUGAGAAUGGGAGGUAAAUGGAAAUUAAUUUGGAAGCCACUGAAACAACAAAUUGUCUGCAGUGAUAUCCCUCCUAUAUUUGUUUUGCUCUGCUUAUGAUACUGAUAGACUUUGGAACGCUACUUUCUACAGGUAGUCAAGAUCUUUCAACAAAGAGGGAGUUAAGGUUCAGUUUGGUCGUACUGAAACAACCAUUGUCUACAUGGGUGUGGUCUUUGGUGAAUUACAUUCUUGAUUUGCUGUUUUCGUCUUCGCUUUGCAUCAUUAUGCACUUAGUUUUGAACUGAUGAGUGAGAGCAACUGGAUAUUUAUUUGAUUUCCACUGAAAUAACGAAUUUUCUGCAUUGGCAUUAUUCCUGGAU